CCCUUGCUUAGAAACGGGGAGCUUAGUGAAUUCGAGGUUAGUUUAGAUCGUCGACCGUAUGCCAUGGAGUUCUUUCUGUAAGCGGGGUUUUAUUUUCGUUAGUGAAAAGGCCUUGCCGGGUAACUGCCUUUAAGCCUGCCCUGCCCCCGUGCACAAUAGCUUGAAAGCAGAGUGCCUGAUUACCGCUGUUUCCAAGUGCGGUACUCGGCGGGAGUGGUCGCCUACCCUGCAGGUGUAAGAUGGAUACCUGAAGUGUAGACUGCUGCUAGCUGAAUACCAUCUGGGAAGACAAAGGUGACCUAAAGGAUGUCCUUGGUGAGGAUUUUGAAAAUUUGAUCUUCACGAGUUGCUUGGAUCAUUUAAAAUUUCGAGGAGUCUGAGGAGUACUGCCAUAAUUGCCUGCUGGAGUCCAUAAAUACACAUUUAAGACCGUGAGGAUAUGAAUAAAUAUAUUAAUACACUUUGAGAUUUGUGUUUAAAGUGAUAAACUACCAGAAAACAGCUAUUUCUAAAAAGAUGUUUAUAAGUAAUGGUAAAAGAAGAACUCAUCCUGAUUCUAAAAAGCCCCAGCAUGAUCCGUGAUUACCUAGGAGAAGCAACCAUUACAAGGAAAAAGCAACCGGUGGGGAGACUCAGACGGCAGACUGGACCAAUGACCCAUCUUUCAUGUUACCUCUGGUGUUGCAUUUCUGCGACAAAACUUAGGCCAGCAAAUGCUAGAACCUAUCUGUGGUCUUUAUGCCCUUCUCCAUCCCUAACUACUGACUCUACAAUCUUUUCUCCAAGAAGUAUGUGAGUAGAUACUAUACCACUGACUUUAACUUCCUAGAAUGAAAAAUUCAAAGUCAGCAUUCAAGUUGUUUGUACUCUCUGUAAUAUCAACUAUUAUUCCCAUGGUAGCAAUGAAUACUAGAACUCUAUGUAUUAUUGCUGCAAUUGUUGACACAUGAUUGUUCUUCACAGUGAGAAAAUAAGCUUUCAUCAGUCCCUGUAAGAGAACAGAGAUCUAGUAGUCGGCCAAAAGAAAGAACAAUUAACAAUUAAAAGCCAAUGAUCCUAUGGAA